rnacentral:miRNA from 1 species
UGAACAGAAAGAACAUUUGGC